ACCCUACGGGGCGCAGCAGUAGGGAAUCUUCCACAAUGGACGAAAGUCUGAUGGAGCAACGCCGCGUGAGUGGAGAAGGGUUUCGGCUCGUAAAGCUCUGUUGGUAGUGAAGAAAGAUAGAGGUAGUAACUGGCCUUUAUUUGACGGUAAUUACUUAGAAAGUCACGGAUAACUACGUGCCAGCAGCCGCGGUAAUACGUAGGUGGCAAGCGAUGUCCGGAUUUAUUUGGCGUAAAGCGAGUGCCGGCG
rnacentral:rRNA from 1 species